rnacentral:snRNA from 1 species
AGCUCUAAAUUUCACAAAG